UUUGACUCGAGGAAAGUCCGAGCUCCAUAGGGCAGGAUGCCGGAUAACGUCCGGCGUGGGUGACCAUAGGGAAUAGUGCCACAGAAACGUAGACCGCCGCAUUUGCGGUAAGGGUGGAACGGUGCGGUAAGAGCGCACCAGCAGUACGGUAACGUACUGGCUCGGUAAACCCCAUCCGGAGCAAGGCCGAAUAGGAAAAGAAUACCGGUGGCCCGCCGGCUUUUCGGGUUGUGCCGCUUGAGCAUGCAGGUAACUGCAUGCCUAGAAAGAUAAUUAUCGCUGCUUUGCAGUACAGAACUCGGCUUAUUGACUAC
rnacentral:RNase_P_RNA from 1 species